AGCGAACGCUGGCGGCAGGCCUAACACAUGCCAGUCGAACGAACCUUUCGGGGUUAGUGGCGGACGGGUGAGUAACACGUGGGAACGUGCCUUUAGGUUCGGAAUAACUCAGGGAAACUUGUGCUAAUACCGAAUGUGCCCUUCGGGGGAAAGAUUUAUCGCCUUUAGAGCGGCCCGCGUCUGAUUAGCUAGUUGGUUGAGGUAAUGGCUCACCAAGGCGACGAUCAGUAGCUGGUCUGAGAGGAUGAUCAGCCACAUUGGGACUGAGACACGGCCCAAACUCCUACGGGAGGCAGCAGUGGGGAAUCUUGCGCAAUGGGCGAAAGCCUGACGCAGCCAUGCCGCGUGAAUGAUGAAGGUCUUAGGAUUGUAAAAUUCUUUCACCGGGGACGAUAAUGACGGUACCCGGAGAAGAAGCCCUGGCUAACUUCGUG
rnacentral:rRNA from 1 species